rnacentral:sRNA from 1 species
AACUCAUGAAGCCGCGACAUGGUGGCAAG